rnacentral:rRNA from 1 species
UACGGAGGGUGCAAGCGUUGUCCGGAUUUAUUGGGUUUAAAGGGUGCGUAGGCGGUCCUUUAAGUCAGUGGUGAAAUCCUGCAGCUUAACUGUAGAACUGCCAUUGAUACUGGAGGACUUGAGUAUAGACGAGGUAGGCGGAAUUGACGGUGUAGCGGUGAAAUGCAUAGAUAUCGUCAAGAACACCGAUUGCGAAGGCAGCUUACUAGACUAUAACUGACGCUGAUGCACGAAAGCGUGGGGAUCAAACAGGAUUAGAAACCCCCGUAGUCC